GCUGGGGAGAUGGCUCAGUUGGUAGAGUGCUCGCCUCGCAAGCACAAGGCCCUGGGUUCAAUCCCCAGCUCCGGCA